AUUGAACGCUGGCGGCGUGCCUAACACAUGCAAGUCGAGCGGUAACAGGUGUAGCAAUACAUGCUGACGAGCGGCGGACGGGUGAGUAACGCUUGGGAAUCUGCCUAUUAGUGGGGGACAACCCGGGGAAACUCGGGCUAAUACCGCAUACGCUCUACGGAGGAAAGCCGGGGACCGCAAGGCCUGGCGCUAAUAGAUGAGCCCAAGUCGGAUUAGCUAGUUGGAGGUAACGGCCUACCAAGGCUACGAUCCGUAACUGGUCUGAGAGGACGACCAGUCACACCGGAACUGAGACACGGUCCGGACUCCUACGGGAGGCAGCAGUGGGGAAUAUUGGACAAUGGGGGAAACCCUGAUCCAGCGACGCCGCGUGGGUGAAGAAGGCCUGCGGGUUGUAAGCCCUUUCAGUGGGAAGAAAGCCUCGACCUAACACGUCGGGGUCUUGACGUAACCAUAGAAGAAGCACCGGCUAACUCUGUGCCAGCCGCCGCGGUAA
rnacentral:rRNA from 1 species